rnacentral:rRNA from 1 species
CCCUUAGAUGUUCUGGGCCGCACGCGUGCUACACUGAGUGGAUCAGCGGGUCAGGUUGCGCGAAAGUGUUUCCUAAUCUUGAAAUCCGCUCGUGAUGGGGAUUGACGGUUGCAAUUUUCCGUCAUGAACGAGGAAUACCUUGUAAGCGCGGGUCAUCAUCCCGCGCUGAAUACGUCCCUGCCCUUUGUACACACCGCCCGUCGCUCCUACCGAUUGAGUGGUCCGGUGAGGCUUUGGGAUCUGAGCGGAAAGAGCGUUUCGCUGUUUCUGCUCGGAAAACUCAGUCGAACCUUAUCAUUUAGAGGAAGGAGGAGUCGUAACA